UUSUCAGUCAGUCAGUCAGUUAACACGUACGGUUGCAUCUGUUACCAUGUCAGGACAACGAGAGUUACACAGAC
rnacentral:misc_RNA from 1 species